UACGUAGGGGGGCAAGCGUUUGUCCGGAUUUAUUGGGCGUAAAGAGCGUGUAGGCGGCCUGGAAGGUCAGCUGUGAAAACUCGAGGCUCAACCUCGAGACGUCGGUUGAAACCACCUGGCUAGAGUCCGGAAGAGGAGAGUGGAAUUCCCGGUGUAGCGGUGAAAUGCGCAGAUAUCGGGAAGAACACCCGUGGCGAAGGCGGCUCUCUGGGACGGUACUGACGCUGAGACGCGAAAGCGUGGGGAGCGAACAGG
rnacentral:rRNA from 1 species